rnacentral:rRNA from 1 species
CCUACGGGAGGCAGCAGUGGGGAAUAUUGGACAAUGGGGGAAACCCUGAUCCAGCCAUGCCGCGUGAGUGAAGAAGGCCCUAGGGUUGUAAAGCUCUUUCAGCGGGGAAGAUGAUGACGGUACCCGCAGAAGAAGCCCCGGCUAACUCCGUGCCAGCAGCCGCGGUAAUACGGAGGGGGCUAGCGUUGCUCGGAAUUACUGGGCGUAAAGGGCGUGUAGGCGGACUAAUCAGUCAGGCGUGAAAGCCCCGGGCUUAACCUGGGAACUGCGCUUGAUACCAUUAGUCUAGAGUUCGGGAGAGGAUGGUGGAAUUCCCAGUGUAGAGGUGAAAUUCGUAGAUAUUGGGAAGAACACCAGUGGCGAAGGCGGCCAUCUGGACCGAUACUGACGCUGAGGCGCGAAAGCGUGGGGAGCAAACAGGAUUAGAUACCCUGGUAGUCCACGCCGUAAACGAUGUGUGCUAGAUGUCGGGCAGCUUGCUGUUCGGUGUCGCAGCUAACGCAUUAAGCACACCGCCUGGGGAGUACGACCGCAAGGUUAAAACUCAAAUGAAUUGACGG